rnacentral:lncRNA from 1 species
UGAGUUUGUGGUUGCAUGAAACUUUAUUUAUAAUGCUUUCCAGGAGAAAAUAUAUAAAUAAUAUAACAAAUGUAGGAAUCACGGGUGUCAUUUUGUUUAUUGGAAUAAAUGAUCGAGAAGAAAUAAUUAACGGUUGUCAAGAAUUGCGAUCAGAGCGUGAAUGAUUUGGUAUACAAUUAGGAUCGUGAAUGAAAUAUUAUGCUCCGUCAGUAAAUAAUCUUAUUUAAUGAAUUGUGAAAAAUAUUGGAAAAUAAAACUGUCUGUCAAAUUAGACCGUUAUUUUUCUCGUGUGAAUUGUUUCAUA